rnacentral:rRNA from 1 species
CCUACGGGUGGCAGCAGUAGGGAAUAUUGCUCAAUGGGGGAAACCCUGAAGCAGCAACGCCGCGUGGAGGAUGAAGGUUUUCGGAGUGUAAACUCCUUUUGGUAGAGAAGAGAAUGACGGUAGCUAACGAAUAAGCACCGGCUAACUCCGUGCCAGCAGCCGCGGUAAUACGGAGGGUGCAAGCGUUACGCGGAAUGACUGGGCGUCAAGAGCGCGUAGGCGGGAUAGCAAGUCAGAUGUGAAAUCCUAUGGCUUAACCCUAGAACUGCCUUUGAUACUGUUAUUCUAGAGUCUGGGAGCGGUAGGUGGAAUUCUUGGUGUAGGGGUCCAAUCCGU